GUUGUAGAUGAGCAUGAGAGUGUGGAGCAGAGUCGGCGAGCGCAAGCUGAGCCCAUCAACCUGGACAGCUGUCUCCGUUCUUUCACCAGUGACGAAGAGCUAGGGGAAAAUGAGAUGUACUACUGUUCCAAGUGUAAGACCCACUGCUUAGCAACAAAGAAGCUGGAUCUCUGGAGUCUUCCACCCUUUCUG
rnacentral:sRNA from 1 species